AUGAACCUAUCAGUUGACACCAAGGGUAAUCAUCAUUUUCACAAAAGGCUGUGGACUAGAUUGCAGGGUUCAGCAAUGGGCACUAUUGCUUUCCUUGAGAUGGUCUUUUCAGCAUUCACCCUGCGGUAAGAGUACUGGAUGAGUUCUGCGACCAAACUUCCAACAUAAUGUAAGAAUGGCUGAUAAUAGCUAAGGUGCUGUAUCUAAUGUUCUGCAAUAUCCACAAUGCAAGUGUAAAAGGUGAUUCCCAUCUUAAGAAGAAAAGCAUGAGUCCUCUGGUCUUACAAGAUGGGUUAGGAAUGGGACUCCAUAUUUUAAAGGACAAAUUGAAUUUGGAUGUAGAUGUAUAUUUUUCCUUCCGAGAUUGAUGAGGAUGAUCUCUCCGGUCUGAGGGCAAACUUUCAUAGUCACACUACAAUGCUUAGAUCGUUUUACAUGGAAGACCGUCCAAUAGUUACAUCUGUGCAGCUAAGCAGCCGUUGCCUGUCAAUCGAUGUAUGCUGAGUUGGUGUCACAGCACACAGCAUGAGAAAUGGCCCCUUUUUCUCAUCACAGGAAUGAUUCUGGUCAAGAAAGUCACCCAAAGUCACCAGCAGAAACAAGCCAGCUAAUUGAGCAAGAUGCACUCUCAGAAUGUAAAUGAAUUGAUACAAUAAAGAAUUCAAUUACUAUCCAA